CACUGCGGGGUGGAUGGAUUGGGGACAGGACAGCAGGGUCAGCGCGAUCUGUCUCCAAUUCAGAAACCGGUCCCUGAGGACCAGGCUUUCUGCCUUGGUCGCUGAGUUCCCUCCCAAAUCAGGGAGCACCCCUCCCCAGGACUCAGCGCCCGCCCUCUCUCUUCAGCCCGGGUUUGGUUUGAAAGGACCUUCUCAAGUCCGCAGCUCCCUGGAAACGGGGCACACCCUCUGAAGGACCCUUUCUUCAGGAGUGUGAAGCAGUUGAGGUGGAAGACUUUGCUCCGGGCCUUGCGCACCAGGUCGCUGGGAGAGAUACCUUGCGCACAGCCGGCGCACUUUGUGCCAAAGCGCCUGUGGAUACAAGGCUCCUGUCAGUGUGAGGGUGAUGCGCCAAGACUCAAUGUCACUUAUACAAGAUGUUGAUGGAAUUUACUAUAUAAAAAAAAUCUCCCUUCUAGAGUAAAGAGUAUCAACAUUACAGCUCGACAGACGGUGCGGGGAUAAAUGAAACAGACAAAAGACAAACAAGAUAAUAAUCUGUUUCCAAUCACUUAAGCCCUGUAGAGUUAGUAAAAUGUUGCUUGCAUAUUCCCCCUUGAGUUCGGUAAUUAAUUACUGGCGAAGAGACGCACACCUCCCGGCUGGAGUGGGAGUUUCGAGGCCCGGAGAGCUUGGGCGUGGGGGGGAGG
rnacentral:sRNA from 1 species